rnacentral:rRNA from 1 species
GAUGAACGCUGGCGGCGUGCCUAAUACAUGCAAGUCGAGCGAACAGACGAGGAGCUUGCUCCUCUGACGUUAGCGGCGGACGGGUGAGUAACACGUGGAUAACCUACCUAUCAGACUGGGAUCACUUCGGGAAACCGGAGCUAAUACCGGAUAAUAUAUUGAACCGCAUGGUUCAAUAGUGAAAGACGGUUUUGCUGUCACUUAUAGAUGGAUCCGCGCCGCAUUAGCUAGUUGGUAAGGUAACGGCUUACCAAGGCAACGAUGCGUAGCCGACCUGAGAGGGUGAUCGGCCACACGGGAACUGAGACACGGUCCAGACUCCUACGGGAGGCAGCAGUAGGGAAUCUUCCGCAAUGGGCGAAAGCCUGACGGAGCAACGCCGCGUGAGUGAUGAAGGUCUUCGGAUCGUAAAACUCUGUUAUUAGGGAAGAACAAAUGUGUAAGUAACUAUGCACGUCUUGACGGUACCUAAUCAGAAAGCCACGGCUAACUACGUG